AGGUGAGGUGGAAGGGAGUCUUGAGGUCUUCUCACACCUCAGAGGCAGUCUGCAGUAAUUUUUCGUAAUCGUUUAAUUCUGUGGUUUUUCAAACCCCAAGAAGACACAGAGCAGAAAGUUUUGUGCCCCAAAUUUUCACAACAGGUUUAGAGUCCUGUGUGAGAUCCAAACCCUACAGUGAUCCCAUCUGACCAACCGUGACAGUGUUGUCUCAUGCCUUUGGGAAUGCAUCCACGGAGGAUGUUGCAGUGACCUCUCUUGGAUGAAAUUCUGCUCGUGACAAACUGUCAAGAAUAUCUGCCUGUUCCCUGCAACCUGGGAAACUGAAGAGACACACUCUGGCAGCAGGCACUGAGGAAGAGGAUUGCAAGUCACCUUAAUCACCUUAGAGGAACAUCUGACCCUUAUCUACUACUGUCCAGAUAGCACAGUCAUUGGUAUUGACCGACACUGCAAUCUUCAAGCCCCAAAAUGAGCAACAGCUUCCACACUUUAUGACUUGCAUUAUUUUUAGCCAUUUGCACAGUCCUCACGAUUG